CUGGUCUGAGAGGAUGAUCAGUCACACUGGAACUGAGACACGGUCCAGACUCCUACGGGAGGCAGCAGUGGGGAAUAUUGGACAAUGGGCGCAAGCCUGAUCCAGCCAUGCCGCGUGGGUGAAGAAGGCCUUCGGGUUGUAAAGCCCUUUUGUCCGGAAAGAAAAGCUUCGGGCUGAUACCCCGGGGUCCUGACGGUACCGGAAGAAUAAGCACCGGCUAACUUCGUGCCAGCAGCCGCGGUAAUACGAAGGGUGCAAGCGUUACUCGGAAUUACUGGGCGUAAAGCGUGCGUAGGUGGUUUGUUAAGUCUGAUGUGAAAGCCCUGGGCUCAACCUGGGAAUUGCAUUGGAUACUGGCAGGCUAGAGUGCGGUAGAGGAUGGCGGAAUUCCCGGUGUAGCAGUGAAAUGCGUAGAGAUCGGGAGGAACAUCUGUGGCGAAGGCGGCCAUCUGGACCAGCACUGACACUGAGGCACGAAAGCGUGGGGAGCAAACAGGAUUAGGUACCCUGGUAGUCCACGCCGUAAACGAUGUCGACUAGCCGUUGGGGUCCUUGAGACUUUAGUGGCGCAGCUAACGCAUUAAGUCGACCGCCUGGGGAGUACGGCCGCAAGGUUAAAACUCAAAUGAAUUGACGGGGGCCCGCACAAGCGGUGGAGCACGUGGUUUAAUUCGAAGCAACGCGAAGAACCUUACCUGGCCUUGACAUGCUGAGAACUUUCCAGAGAUGGAUUGGUGCCUUCGGGAACUCAGACACAGGUGCUGCAUGGCUGUCGUCAGCUCGUGUCGUGAGAUGUUGGGUUAAGUCCCGUAACGAGCGCAACCCUUGUCCUUAGUUACCAGCACGUUAUGGUGGGCACUCUAAGGAGACUGCCGGUGACAAAUCGGAGGAAGGUGGGGAUGACGUCAAGUCAUCAUGGMCCUUACGGCCAGGGCUACACACGUGCUACAAUGGUCGGUACAAAGGGUUGCCAAGCCGCGAGGUGGAGCUAAUCCCAUAAAACCGAUCGUAGUCCGGAUCGCAGUCUGCAACUCGACUGCGUGAAGUCGGAAUCGCUAGUAAUCGUGAAUCAGAAUGUCACGGUGAAUACGUUCCCGGGCCUUGUACACACCGCCCGUCACACCAUGGGAGUGGGUUGCACCAGAAGUAGCUAGUCUAACCUUCGGGGGGACGGUUACCACGGAGUGAUU
rnacentral:rRNA from 1 species